rnacentral:misc_RNA from 1 species
GAUGAAGAACGUAGCGAAAUGCGAUAAGUAAUGUGAAUUGCAGAAUUCAGUGAAUCAUCGAAUCUUUGAACGCACAUUGCGCCCGCCAGCAUUCUGGCGGGCAUGCCUGUUCGAGCGUCAUUUCAACCCUCGAGCCCCCCCGGGGGCCUCGGUGUUGGGGGACGGCACACCAGCCGCCCCCGAAAUGCAGAGGCGACCCCGCCGCAGCCUCCCCUGCGUAGUAGCACACACCUCGCACCGGAGCGCGGAGGCGGUCACGCCGUAAAACGCCCAACUUUCUUAGAGUUGACCUCGGAUCAGGUAGGAAUACCCGCUGAACUUAAGCAUAUCAAUAAGCGGAGGA